rnacentral:rRNA from 1 species
UACGUAGAAGGCAAACGUUAUUCGGAUUUACUGGGCGUAAAGCGGGUGUAGACGGCUCCUUAAGUCGGGUGUGAAAUCUCCCAACUCAAUUGGGAGGGGUCAUUCGAUACUGGGGAGCUUGAGGGCAGCAGAGGAAGGUGGAAUUCCCGGUGUAGCGGUGAUAUGCGUAGAUAUCGGGAGGAACACCAGUGGCGAAGGCGGCCUUCUAGGCUGUUCCUGACGUUGAGACCCGAAAGCGUGGGGAGCGAAACGGAUUAGAUACCCCAGUA